ACUAGAUGAGUGUAGUGGGAACUGCGGGUGCCCACCCAAACACCCAAUUUGAUUUCAAAGUCAUGCAGUAGAGUGAAACAUCUGGAUGAAGACCACAUUUCCCAAUCUCUUCCAGCUGGGUGACAUCCAUUGCUAAGAUGAAACUCAUACCCUGCGGACCAGAGGAACACCCUUAGAAUAACAGAGAUCUGUAAGACUUCCUGCUCCUAGCAGCAAUGCCUUAUGGGUUAAGAUCCAACCCCAUCAAGAACACGGGAUAUCAACAGGAACAAACUAUAUGUUAGCUGACAAAAACUACAAUUCCCAGGAUGCUUUGCAGAGAAGUGACUGUCCAGAUGAACACCUGGAUUGUGCCUUCUGUAUGCUUUGAGUGACUGGAUGCACAGGUUUUGCAUUGAUGUUUUGUGGUUGAUAGGAUUUUACAGGCACAAGAUGUAGGGGUGGGCUACAGAUCACAAUAUUUUUUACUUGUUUGACUGGAA
rnacentral:lncRNA from 1 species